rnacentral:tRNA from 1 species
UGGCUUAGUGGUAGAGUGCUUGCCUCGCAUGCAUGAAGCCCUGGGUUCAAUUCCUCG